ACGGGGUAGUAAUGUGUCGGAACGUGCCCUCUGGACGGGGAUAGCGGCGGGAAACUGCCGGUAAUACCCGAUGAACUCGAGAGUGCAAAGGUGUGAUUCCGCCGGAGGAGCGGCCGACAUGGUAUUAGCUAGUUGGCGGGGUAACGGCCCACCAAGGCUGUGAUGCCUAGGGGAUGUGAGAGCAUGAUCCCCACCAUUGGGACUGAGACACUGCCCAGACACCUACGGGUGGCUGCAGUCGAGAAUCUUCGUCAAUGGGCGAAAGCCUGAACGAGCGACGCCGCGUGUGGGAUGAAGGCCUUUGGGUUGUAAACCACUGUCGAGGGGGAUGAAGGCAUUCAGGUCCUCCUGAAUGUUUGACAGAGCCCUGGAGGAAGCACGGGCUAAGUUCGUGCCAGCAGCCGCGGUAAUACGAACUGUGCGAACGUUAUUCGGAAUCACUGGGCUUACAGGGUGCGUAGGCGGCUUAGCAAGUCAGGUGUGAAAGCCCCCGGCUCAACCGGGGAACUGCGCUUGAAACUGCUGAGCUCGAGUCAGCUAGAGGUACACGGAACUUCCAGUGGAGCGGUGAAAUGUGUUGA
rnacentral:rRNA from 1 species